rnacentral:rRNA from 1 species
AUUGAACGCUAGCGGGAUGCUUUACACAUGCAAGUCGAACGAGUGGCGGACGGGAGGGAAAUAUAUCGGAACGUGCGCAGUAGCGGGGGAUAACUACGCGAAAGAGUUGCCAAUACCGCACACUAUUGGAGCGGACGAUAUCGGAUUAGCUAGGUGGUGGGGUAAAGGCUCACCAAGGCAACGAUCCGUAGCGGGUUUGAGAGGACGACCAGCCACACUGGGACUGAGACACGGCCCAGACUCCUACGGGAGGCAGCAGUGGGGAAUGUUGGACAAUGGGGGAAACCCUGAUCCAGCCAUCCCGCGUGUAUGAGAAGGCCUUCGGGUUGUAAAGUACUUUUGGCAGAGAAGCGGUAUCUGCAGAAUAAGCACCGGCUAACUACGUGCCAGCCGCCGCGGUAAUAC